UGCGGUGCAUUAGCUAGUUGGUAGGGUAACGGCCUACCAAGGCGAUGAUGCAUAGCCGAGUUGAGAGACUGAUCGGCCACAUUGGGACUGAGACACGGCCCAAACUCCUACGGGAGGCAGCAGUAGGGAAUCUUCCACAAUGGACGCAAGUCUGAUGGAGCAACGCCGCGUGAGUGAAGAAGGGUUUCGGCUCGUAAAGCUCUGUUGUUGGUGAAGAAGGACAGGGGUAGUAACUGACCUUUGUUUGACGGUAAUCAAUUAGAAAGUCACGGCUAACUACGUGCCAGCAGCCGCGGUAAU
rnacentral:rRNA from 1 species